AUUCCAGCUCCAAUAGCGUAUAUUAAAGUUGUUGCAGUUUAAAAGCUCGUAGUUGGAUUUCUGGCGGGAGUCCGGGUCGGCCUUAACGGGUUGCACUGUUGUGACGUCUCGCCGUUUCGAGGGGAAUGGGCUCGCUAUUAGGUUAGUGUGUUCGGGAACCUCGUCGUUUACUGUGAAAAAAUUAGAGUGUUCAAAGCAGGCCUUUGCUGUGAAUACAUUAGCAUGGAAUAAUAAGAUAGGACUGUAGUGCUAUUUUGUUGGUUUGCGUACUAUGGUAAUGAUUAAUAGGGAUAGUUGGGGGUAUUCAUAUUCAAUUGUCAGAGGUGAAAUUCUUGGAUUUAUGGAAGAUGAACUACUGCGAAAGCAUUUACCAAGGAUGUUUUCAUUA
rnacentral:rRNA from 1 species